CUUUAGCAUAGAGGGGUGCUUGUACUCGGGACAGGCUGAGAUUAUACCCAUCAAACCUGAAACGGAUAAUGCCGGCGUAGGGAAUGCAGGUAAAGAGCU
rfam:Odoribacter laneus CAG:561 genomic scaffold, scf302